rnacentral:rRNA from 1 species
UACAGAGGGUGCGAGCGUUAAUCGGAAUUACUGGGCGUAAAGGGUGCGUAGGUGGCCUGAUAAGUCAGAUGUGAAAUCCCCGGGCUUAACCUGGGAAUUGCAUUUGAUACUGCCAGGCUAGAGUGUGAUAGAGGUAAGCGGAAUUCCCGGUGUAGCGGUGAAAUGCGUAGAUAUCGGGAGGAACAUCAGUGGCGAAGGCGGCUUACUGGAUCAACACUGACACUGAGGCACGAAAGCGUGGGUAGCAAAC